rnacentral:miRNA from 1 species
UGCUCUGUUGAACUCAAAAGCU